GAUUGGAAGUGCAAGUUGUGCUCUGUAUCCUUGGACACACGUGCAAAGUUAUUUAGGCAUUAUCAAUUGCACCAUAACCACUUCUCAAGAGUCAGCCCUCUACCAUGUUUGUACAGUGACUGCAUUUGUGCUUUCCAGUCAUUUAAUGCAGUUAAAGCUCAUUUGUCACGGUGUCAUAGUGAUACAGGCAGAAUAAAUGUGACUGAUGGUUCACAGUCAGGAAGUGCAUUUUUUACAUGUCCCUUGUGUGGCACCAAACAGACAUUUUCUGAGGCAUCACUAUUUUCUCAUUUAAGGAGUCAUUUAAGAAAUCAUGAGGUGGUAGUAUGCCCAUACAGUAACUGCAGUUACAGUACAAAUGCGUACUCGUCCUUCAAUGCACACAAAAGCCGAAACCAUGCAGGCAGUUCAGACUUUGAUACGAACAUUGUAUGUUCAGAAAAGAAUGGUACACCAGACACACCUGCUGGUGAAAAUGUUGAGGAGGGACCUGCUCAGUGUGAGAGCACAGACACCUUUGACCCUGUUGAGGUAGAGAGUCAGUGCGACACAGACACUUUAAGAGCGCAGCUGCACCAAAGUUUAGCAUCGCUAUUCUUAAAGAUGAAAACAAUUCUUCAUGUGUCUGACCUGGCGACUCAGGACAUAGUGGAGCAUCUGACACAAAUAUUUUCCCUGUCCCAGCCUCUAGUCAAACAAUCUCUUAGAGAAGUCUUAGAACAUCAUGACAUCUCUGUCAGUGAAAAUACUCUAGAUGACAUAGUUACUGCCGUUCUGGAAAGCAACAUUCUUGUAAAUGCCACAGCUAAAGGUAGAGAGUUAUCUUCAACUAAAAGAAGGAAAACAUUUGUUGAGAAAAACUACCCUGUGGUGAAGCCUGUAGAGUAUGUGCUGGAGCCAGGACACACAGCAGUCUAUGUUCCUAUUCUUGACAUGAUUCAGAAAAUGUUCAAACAUACAGACAUUCUGGACAAAAUUCUAGAAACAAAGAUGUCACAGGAAGGUCAUUUCAUGAGCCACCAAGAUGGCUCAUACUAUAAGGAGAAUGAAUUAUUCUCUUCCUCAGAUGAUCUUAAGCUACCACUCAUUUUGUACAUUGAUGAUCUUGAAAUAGCAAACCCACUUGGAACAUCACGGAAGAUCCAUAAACUAUGUUCAGUCUACUGGGUAUUUGCUGAUCUGCCUAGUAAAUAUAGAUCAUCAUUGCAUGUGCUUCAGUUAGCAGCAUUAUGUAAGGUGUCUGACGUUCAGCGGGUUGGAUAUGAAAGAUUGUUUGGUCCUCUGUUACGAGACAUCCAAACUCUUGAGCAAGAUGGUGUUUUUAUUGAGUCCGUUGGUAAAGCCGUAAAGGGAACAGUCUUGUGUGUCGUGGCUGAUAAUCUUGCAGCUCAUGCAUUAGCAGGAUUUACAAAGUGUUUCAGAGCUCAGUAUAUGUGUAGAUUCUGCACAGCUACCAAAGACCAAAUUCAGGCUCAUGAUGUUGGGAGUGGAGAAUUCAGUGUGCGGACAAAAGCCAGUCAUGAUGUUGAUGUUGAUGCUGCACUGCAUGGGGUUAGUCAGAGUGGUGUUCAGGGAGUCUGUGUUCUGAGGCAGGGUCUACAGUAUUUUCAUACAGUCACAGGCUUCCCACCAGAUAUCCUGCACGAUCUUCUUGAGGGCAUUGUGCCCAUAGAGCUGGCCCUUUGUAUUGGGAAAAUGAUCAAUCAUAAAUACUUCACCCUGGAGUAUUUAAACAGAAAAAUUGUCUCAUUCCCAUACAAGCACACAGACAAGGUUGACAGACCUCAGCCUAUCCCAAAGACCUUCACUGUGAAGAAAACGAUUGGUGGCAAUGGCCAUGAAAAUGCUACUUUGCUCAGACUACUUCCAUUGAUCAUUGGUAGUAAAGUUCCAGAAGAGGAUGGAGCAUGGAGUGUACUCAUGGAUUUGAAAGAGAUAGUAGAGCUGAUGAUUUGCCCAGUGUUUACAGAUGAAUCCAUCCAGUAUUUGCAAAUGAAGAUACAGGAUCAUAGACACAUGCUGCAGGAAGUUUUUCCUGAUUUCACGCUCAGACCAAAGCAUCACUACACUGAACAUUACGCUGACCUCAUACGUUGUUUUGGACCUCUUGUCCAUUUGUGGACGAUGAGAUUUGAGGGAAAACACCGCUUUUUCAAGCGUGUAGUACAUGACACACAAAACUUCAAGAAUGUUUUAAAAACACUAGCAAACAGACACCAACACAUGAUGGCAUACUCUCUCAGUGCCCCAUCCUUCUUCAAACCUCACCAGCAGACAUCAAGCGUCUCGUCUGUGAUGGUAUCAGGGCUUCCUGAUGUUGCAAAGGCAUAUGUCGAACACAUGACAGACAGCAGCAUGAUUUACAGCACAUCAGUUGUCAAUGUUGAUGGAACUGAUUAUGGCGUGGAGAUGUUUGUGUCUGUGGGACAGGAGGGAGGAUUGCCUCAGUUCAGCAAAAUUGAACAGAUUCUCCUUGUCGAUAACCAGAUUGUCUUUCUUUGCAAGAUACACACAUCAUGUUACAUUGAGCAUCUGAGAUCUUAUGAACUUUCACCAGGGAACUUGACUGUCCACCUUUUAAAAGAGCUCAAUGACACAUUGCCUCUCUCUGCAUACAGAACAGAUGGAAGACUGCUCUUAACACCAAAACGGUUCAUAUUACUACACUGAAAUUUCAGCUCAUUUAAGUACACAUCAAGAUAUGGUUACUCCGCAGAAAUUUGUGCUCCGUGUAUGUGUUGCAACAGAUCUUGCCAUGAAGCUCAUUCUAACCGAGCGACCACAGUCAGUAGAAGAGCUCAAGAAUAUAAUGCAAGAGAAGUUUAAGCCAAGGCUGGACUGUGACUUUACCCUUCAAUAUGAAGAUCCUGACUUCGAUGGACAGCUCAGUGUUCUUAUGGAUAUUCAGGAGCUCCCUGAAAAAGGAACACUGAAAGUGGUGAGAUCUGAAAGUGAUGCAUCCUCCACUGGAAGCUCCGACACAGACAUACUUCCACAUGUACCUUUAAGACAGCGUCAGAAAAAUUGGCCAGAUUGUUUCCCUGUGCCAACUUUUUCUUAUGAAGUUGAGCAUGUAUGUGCACAGGGAAAUCCUGCCUUUGAAAGUUCUGGGAAGACACUGAAAUUAACAAGAGCCCAAAAACACAAUAUCCUGGAAAACAUGGCUGAAACAAUGUACAAUUUCAAGCCAUAUCCGCAUGACAAGGAAGUUGGUAUGGCUGCUGAAGCUCUAAUAGCAGCUCAUCCAUGCCUUAGAGAACAUGGGAGUAAGAAUGGAUGGUAUGGAUGGAAGGUGGCCUUGAAGUUCAAGAUGGGGAAUUUUCGCACUAAGUUGGCCAGAUCUGGUUGUGCAGAGGUCUCCAUCAAUGCAGGCAAGAGGAGCCGAACCAACCCUGAAAAUGAUCAUCCUCAUUCGAACAUCAAAAGAGCCAGAAGAGCUGAGGUGAAUUUCCUGCCCAACUUUCCCAGGGGAGAGAAUGAGGCAACCUUGGAGGAAAUGAGAGUACAAAUCAUACAAGAGACUGAAAAGACUGAGAGAGACCAGAUACUGAUAGAAAAGCUCAUGCACACAACCUUUGCCCUUCGCCGCCAACACAUUGUUCAAGGAAGUCCACAGGUGCGGGAAUUCCUGGAGAACUGGCCGGCCUUGCGAAUGCAGUCACAGGUGUUUGCAGAGUUUCAUCGCAUUACAAACCUGAAUCUACGCAACCAGUUUUACUGUGAACUUGACCGAUACACACCAAAACUAGUUGCACUGUAUCGACAGAAGUCUUCAAGGACUGGAAAGGGAGCAGAGGCACUGCGAGAGAUGCUGAGAAUUUAUGACUUGGAGGAAGAACAUGAUAUCAACAUGCGACGCACUCUGGCUCUUCGUGCACUUCCAGUGUAUCUCCGGGAGGAUGACACUGAAUUCUACAAAACCUGUAAUGGUGAAGAUGAGAUGGAGACCACUGACACACCGCUAGCGAUCCUCUCUGUGGUCCCUGACUCCACUGGUUCCAUUAGCUUCAGCCCUGAGAACAUAUCCAUUGUGAUAGAGGAUGAAGUUGUUAUGAGCGAGCUUCCCAGGUUGGCUGAUGCAUUUGUGGUGCUGCUUGGUUUAAUCUAUGCAUUACACUUAGAUUAUCCAAAGAAGCUCACUCACACAUUCACAUUCAUCCAGAAAGUGCUGAUGUGUCUGGAUGAUAACAAACCACUGAAACCAUGCCUACUCUCCCUGAAAAAUGAUUUGUUAAAGGAAUAAACAAGCUGAGAAAUGCAUGCCUGCACUCAGCAGGCCAACAUUAUUACA